GGCGCGGAGGGACGGGUCGCCCGUGUGGAAGGACCCGAGAGAUUGUGGGGGGCGAGGGGAGUGUGCUUGGAGAAAGGCCGGCUGUGGGGAACGAAGCCGCAGGUUCUAAAGGGUCAAGCGCAAAGGCCUGGCGCGGGGAGGCGAAAGCAGGACAGAGAAUUGAUUCCGAGGACUUGGAGCGGAGCUAGACAUCCACGAAGUACUCCGCAAAUAUUUGUUGAAAGAUUUUAGCGAGUAACAACACCCACCCGUUUUUGCAGCUGUUUGUCUUCUGAGCCACCACACAGUUCACGACUGCAACGGUGAGAUUAUGAAGAGGGGAGUUUAUAGAUCUUCAGAGGAGAGGAAGUACGUAAAGAAGUGUCUUCAAAGAAAACAACCUGGAGAACCAAGACGUUUACUAUAAAAUUAGAACCUUCUCUUGGAGAGGGGGCUUUCCUGGUGGCUCAGACUGCAAAGAAUCUGCCUACAGUGCAGGAGACCCAGGUUCAGUCCCUG